CGUUUGCAUUAAGAGACGGUUUCAGUACCGGUCCAACCGAGCCACCAUAAUGGCCACGGUGGGAAAAUUGAUGCGAAUUAGUAAACGAAUGUCUAACUAAUUAAAAAUAUUCUA
rnacentral:ncRNA from 2 species